UACGUAGGGGGCAAGCGUUGUCCGGAAUCAUUGGGCGUAAAGCGCGUGUAGGCGGCUAGGUAAGUCUGCUCUGAAAGCCCGGGGCUCAACCCCGGGAGGCGGGUGGAUACUGUCUAGCUCGAGUCCGGAAGAGGAGUGUGGAAUUCCUGGUGUAGCGGUGAAAUGCGCAGAUAUCAGGAGGAACACCGGUGGCGAAGGCGGGUCUCUGGGCCGAUACUGACGCUGAGGAGCGAAAGCGUGGGGAGCAAACAGG
rnacentral:rRNA from 1 species